rnacentral:lncRNA from 1 species
CUUUGCCAAAUGGAAUGUGGGGAGAGAUUCCCAAAGGAAAGAUUAUAACUAAGAAAAUGUCCUAUGUCUCCUAAAGGAAAGUAUGAACUGGUGUUUCAGUCAUAUCGAUCAAUGGCCACAGAAGAGAUAGCAGGGUGUUGGGAACCAGGAAGAAGGUCAAAGAAUCAGAAGAAAAUACCCAAGUGAUAGAAUCGUCCCUGGAUUCAAGAGAACACAAUGAACUGAGUGAGCCCUUUCCACCUCAAGCCUGAGGAAGGAAACUAUGGUGAGAACCCUGCCCAAGAGUCUUGGCUGCUGUAACAAGACACCAUUU